AGAAUUCACUAAUAGAGGCCAUUUCUUGUUCAUGGUAGACAGAAGAAAAGUUAUGUAUUUAAUGCAUCUGUGUAGAUGUCAUCUGACUUCCACUGCAGCCAACAUCAGUAUAGAAGAGAGUUAGAUAGGCUUGAUUUUCCCUGAAUACAAGAUGUAUAUGACAUGUUUUAAUCAUUUCCUUUUGUGUAUUGUGAUGCCCAGAGAGGAUGGGGCGAAAUGUGCCCUGUUACCAUGUAAUGGGAUGGAAAAUAACAUCUGCUAACUUCAUUAUAACUUAAACAGUAGCUCUGCCUCUUCACAAAUACAAAACAAACAAUGUAAAUAACUUUUUGUAAUUUAGCCAAAAAGCUCUUCAUUGCACCAUUAGUUAAAGAUUGUCGUUGUCCCGUUAUCUUCCAUUGGAGCAGAAAUUAGUUGCCAGGAUAUUAAUAUUUUACAGUUUCCCGUGUCGUUCUUGUAGAGAUACUCUACUUAUGGAAAUGUAUCUGUGUCACAUGUUCCCUGUUUAAACCCACAGAGGGAGGUCUAUGCAAACUCUUCCUCUCUUAUAAACACACCAUCAGCAACUUGUGGCAGAUCACUGGGACAGUUUGAUAUAUUUCUGAAACACUCAGAUCAGAAAGCACUGAACUACAGUGUUUAUCACAGAAUGGAAAAUACAGUUAUCUGGAGUUUAUUAUUUGUAGUUACUAUUCAUGGAGUUUGGAGUGAGAUCAAACUGGACCAGUCUUCCUCUGAGGUGAAAAGACCUGGAGAGACAGUGAAGAUGUCAUGUAUCACAUCUGGUUAUACCAUGACAAGCAAUGAUAUUCACUGGAUACGACAGAGGCCAGGGAAUGCUCUGGAGUGGAUUGGGUGGAUGAUCACAGGUUCAAACUCUGCUAGCUAUGGCAGCUCCUUUCAAAGUCGUUUCAUCAUGACUGAAGAUGUGCCCAGCAGCACUCAGUACCUCGAGGUCAAGAGCCUGACAGCAGAAGAUUCUGCUGUUUACUUCUGUGCUCGACAAAGCACAGUGACUGAAGACAGUGGAACAGCUGCACAAAAACCUCCACAGACAACAAACAGCAAUGUGAUCUUAAUGACAUCAGAGUUUUCUCACCACCUGCAAAAGCACUUUGAUAUAUCCACAUUAGAUUUCUGUAUAUUUUAACAUUUGAUAACAGAGUGAACUUGGCUAGUUCAGGAGAUAAUUAGAAAAGUGAAAUGUCCACAGUCCCAUACAUAUUCAAACAC